rnacentral:siRNA from 1 species
AACGGUAUACCACGUGUGAAGUCC